AAGACCUUGCGCUUUUGGAGCGGCCGAUGCCUGAUUAGCUUGUUGGUAAGGUAAAAGCUUACCAAGGCUUCGAUCAGUAGCUGGUCUGAGAGGACGACCAGCCACACUGGGACUGAGACACGGCCCAGACUCCUACGGGAGGCAGCAGUGGGGAAUUUUGGACAAUGGGGGCAACCCUGAUCCAGCCAUGCCGCGUGAGUGAAGAAGGCCUUCGGGUUGUAAAGCUCUUUCGGCCGGAACGAAACGGUUACGGAUAACACCCGUGACUACUGACGGUACCGGAAGAAGAAGCACCGGCUAACUACGUGCCAGCAGCCGCGGUAAUACGUAGGGUGCGAGCGUUAAUCGGAAUUACUGGGCGUAAAGCGUGCGCAGGUGGUUUUGUAAGUCASAUGUGAAAGCCCCGGGCUCAACCUGGGAACU
rnacentral:rRNA from 1 species